ACUUGUUCUCCACUGCAGCACGUUUCUGUUGAAAAAUAUUUGAUAAGUGUCUUAUUUGUUUCAGAUUAUCAUCAGAUCAGAUUUGUCAAAUCAUACUAGAGAACUUGAUCAAUAGAUUCACUACACAAUCUCAAAGCACGUGCGAGCGAGAGCAUGGUACAAGGCGAAAAAAAAAAUUCGAAUUUCUCCCCAACAACACGUGCUCCCAGAUCGUUAUCAGAUUCAUUUUCUCACCUCUCAACUCGAGUUCCGAACCUCAUAACCAGUUGAGCUCUCGUCGAGACAACACAGCUGAGAGGAAUCAUAGGACGCUGACCUGAGAGGAAUCAAUCAUAGCAUAAUCAUCUACACCUGUAUCCUGCUAUCUACACCUGUAUCCUGCUAUCUACACUCGAGGAGAUUCACGCAGGAUCAAGCACUACAUGUAAGUACAUUUUUACUUUGAUUUUAUCCUCUGAGGAGGAAAAUAGUCCUCCGAGGAG